rnacentral:lncRNA from 1 species
AAAUUUUUUAAAUUGGCCCGCAUCUUUGGUUUUAAUAAGCCUUUGAGGGUAAGGAAUAGGUGGUUUAUAAGGUGGUGGAGGUACAUAAGGUUCUUUCUUUUCUACGGUUUCCUUAUUACUCUCCUCCUUUUCCUUAGGUUUAUUUUCUUCCUCAGUUGACUUUUUAGAGUUUUGGUUUUCAAUUCUUGGAUCAGACGGUCCUUCUACCUCUGUUCCACUUCUCAAUAUGAUUGCAUGAGCGUGGCUUUUCGGAUUAGGUUGGGGCUGUCCAGGAAAU